GACGAACGCUGGCGGCGUGCCUAAUACAUGCAAGUAGAACGCUGAAGGAGGAGCUUGCUUCUCUGGAUGAGUUGCGAACGGGUGAGUAACGCGUAGGUAACCUGCCUGGUAGCGGGGGAUAACUAUUGGAAACGAUAGCUAAUACCGCAUAAGGGUAGAUGUUGCAUGACAUUUACUUAAAAGGUGCAAUUGCAUCACUACCAGAUGGACCUGCGUUGUAUUAGCUAGUUGGUGGGGUAACGGCUCACCAAGGCGACGAUACAUAGCCGACCUGAGAGGGUGAUCGGCCACACUGGGACUGAGACACGGCCCAGACUCCUACGGGAGGCAGCAGUAGGGAAUCUUCGGCAAUGGACGGAAGUCUGACCGAGCAACGCCGCGUGAGUGAAGAAGGUUUUCGGAUCGUAAAGCUCUGUUGUAAGAGAAGAACGAGUGUGAGAGUGGAAAGUUCACACUGUGACGGUAUCUUACCAGAAAGGGACGGCUAACUACGUGCCAGCAGCCGCGGUAAUACGUAGGUCCCGAGCGUUGUCCGGAUUUAUUGGGCGUAAAGCGAGCGCAGGCGGUUAGAUAAGUCUGAAGUUAAAGGCUGUGGCUUAACCAUAGUACGCUUUGGAAACUGUUUAACUUGAGUGCAAGAGGGGAGAGUGGAAUUCCAUGUGUAGCGGUGAAAUGCGUAGAUAUAUGGAGGAACACCGGUGGCGAAAGCGGCUCUCUGGCUUGUAACUGACGCUGAGGCUCGAAAGCGUGGGGGAGCAAACAGG
rnacentral:rRNA from 1 species